GUCUAUGGCCAUGCCACCCUGAACAAGCCCGAUCCCAUCUGAUCUUGGAAGCUAAGCAGGGUCUGGCCUGUUUAGUACUUGGAUGGGAGAUCGCCUAGGAAGACCAGGUGCUGUAGGUG
rnacentral:rRNA from 1 species